GACGAACGCUGGCGGCGUGCUUAACACAUGCAAGUCGAACGGAAAGGCCCUGCUUUUGUGGGGUGCUCGAGUGGCGAACGGGUGAGUAACCCGUGAGUAACCUGCCCUUGACUUUGGGAUAACUUCAGGAAACUGGGGCUAAUACCGGAUAGGAGCUCCUGCUGCAGGGUGGGGGUUGGAAAGUUUCGGCGGUUGGGGAUGGACUCGCGGCUUAUCAGCUUGUUGGUGGGGUAGUGGCUUACCAAGGCUUUGACGGGUAGCCGGCCUGAGAGGGUGACCGGCCACAUUGGGACUGAGGUACGGCCCAGACUCCUACGGGAGGCAGCAGUGGGGAAUAUUGCACAAUGGGCGGAAGCCUGAUGCAGCAACGCCGCGUGCGGGAUGACGGCCUUCGGGUUGUAAACCGCUUUCGCCUGUGACGAAGCGUGAGUGACGGUAAUGGGUAAAGAAGCACCGGCUAACUACGUG
rnacentral:rRNA from 1 species